UCCACGUCCAGGCUGAUGGGGGACCCUUUGCCUGAGGACCGGCUGAAGGUCUCCUUCCAGAAGUCUCUGGGGAGCCGGACAGUGGGUCCUGCAGGGCCUCUCCUGUCACCCUCGACGGGGCACUUCGACCAUGUGCGAUGGCGCUGUCUGGCCAGCCGUGACGCCGAGUGCGCUGGGAGAGGGUGUCGGGGGACAGUGUGUGACAGGCAUGCCCUGGAGCCUUGUCACUCCCCAGGCGCGGCGUCACCGAAGUUCACGGGGAUGGAGCCAGCUAAGUUUGGAAGCUGCUUGAUUCCUGGUGGCCCAGGCGUGUCCAGGUUCUGACCUCAGUAAAGAAAGCUGCCCACAGCUCUGCAGGAGGAGAAACCCAAGACUCGAUCUGAUUUUCUUCAUAUCCUUCAAAUGAAACAACAUAUCAUAACAGACAGAAUGGAAAAUCAGCCAUGGGGUAAAACCUUACUUGUUUAUAAUGUUAUCAUUCUUUGUGUAGAUUGGUAUGUUCAAUUUGCUAAUCUUUUGUUGAGAAAAUGUUAAGAGCUUUGUUGAGGUAUCAUUGAUAUAUAAUAAAUUGUACAUGUUUAAAGUGUAUAUUUGCUAAGUUUUCACAUAUGCGUACCCUAGUGAAAACAUCACUGUAACCACGAUAAUAA
rnacentral:lncRNA from 1 species